AACGAACGCUGGCGGCAUGCCUGAUACAUGCAAGUCGAACGAACUCUUCGGAGUUAGUGGCGCACGGGUGCGUAACGCGUGGGAAUCUACCCAGAGGUUCGGAAUAACGGUUGGAAACGGCUGCUAAUACCGGAUGAUGUCGAGAGACCAAAGAUUUAUCGCCUUUGGAUGAGCCCGCGUAAGAUUAGCUAGUUGGUGAGGUAAAGGCUCACCAAGGCUACGAUCUUUAGCUGGUCUGAGAGGAUGAUCAGCCACACUGGGACUGAGACACGGCCCAGACUCCUACGGGAGGCAGUAGUAGGGAAUAUUGGACAAUGGGGGCAACCCUGAUCCAGCAAUGCCGCGUGAGUGAUGAAGGCCUUAGGGUUGUAAAGCUCUUUUACCCGGGAUGAUAAUGACAGUACCGGGAGAAUAAGCUCCGGCUAACUCCGUGCCAGCCGCCGCCGUAAUAC
rnacentral:rRNA from 1 species